UUAACCGGAUGCUCUCGAUGCAGUGGCAUUUCUUUGAUGUCAAAUAUUAUUUGAUUAAAUAAAUAGGGCGACGUAUUAUCUUUACCCAUAUUGCAAGCGGUCGUAUGAAACAAAAUGAAAGUUUUUCUCUUUGUAUCAUUCGCGCGUAUAAUUGUUUUAUUAUAUUUUUAUUUUUAUCCUUUUAUUCGACAAACAAAUUCAAUCCUUUGCCAGUUUCUAAUAUUAUCGCAAAUGCACGUUGCAACAGAGAUGAAUCUACAUACGAGAAACUUGUUGAAGGCUCUGUCACCGGAGACCGUCAGAAACAUGAUAAAAAGUGAAUUACAGAUGUACGAUGCCGAUAAAACUGGAAGGACGGAUUACGCUCUUGAAAGUUCAGGUUUUAUCCAACAGUCUAUUUUUAUAUAGCUUUUUUUAUAUAGAACGCAUUAAUUAAAGGGCGAUCUCUUGCGACCUGCUAAUAAUCUCAUGCGCGGUAUGAUUCUUUCAACACGAAAUACCGAACCUUAUACAAUUGGUGCGCCUGUGCUCAAUCUGUU
rnacentral:misc_RNA from 1 species